UGGGGAAUAUUGGACAAUGGGGGCAACCCUGAUCCAGCAAUGCCGCGUGUGUGAAGAAGGUCUUCGGAUUGUAAAGCACUUUCGACGGGGACGAUGAUGACGGUACCCGUAGAAGAAGCCCCGGCUAACUUCGUGCCAGCAGCCGCGGUAAUACGAAGGGGGCUAGCGUUGCUCGGAAUGACUGGGCGUAAAGGGCGUGUAGGCGGUUUACACAGUCAGAUGUGAAAUCCCCGGGCUUAACCUGGGAGCUGCAUUUGAUACGUGUAGACUAGAGUGUGAGAGAGGGUUGUGGAAUUCCCAGUGUAGAGGUGAAAUUCGUAGAUAUUGGGAAGAACACCGGUGGCGAAGGCGGCAACCUGGCUCAUGACUGACGCUGAGCGCGAAAAGCGUGGGGAGCAAACAGGAUUAGAUACCCUGGUAGUCCACGCUGUAAACGAUGUGUGCUAGAUGUUGGGUAACUUUGUUAUUCAGUGUCGCAGUUAACGCGUUAAGCACACCGCCUG
rnacentral:rRNA from 1 species